rnacentral:ncRNA from 2 species
AUAAGAAAUAAGGGGUGCUUCACGAUUGUGAUGCUGAGAUUAUACCCAUAGAACCUGACGCAGGUAAUGCUGCCGCAGGGAUUGCUUCAACCAUCGUUA